rnacentral:rRNA from 1 species
ACAACAGGGUAUUGCCUCAGUAACGGCGAGUGAAGCGGCAAUAGCUCAAAUUUGAAAUCUGGCCUUUGGCCCGAGUUGUAAUUUGUAGAAGGUGCUUCGGGCGAGGCCCCGGAUCCAAGUCCCUUGGAACAGGGCGUCGUAGAGGGUGAGAAUCCCGUAUGCGGCCGAUGGCCAAGCCCGUGUGAAGCCCUUUCGACGAGUCGAGUUGUUUGGGAAUGCAGCUCUAAACGGGUGGUAAAUUUCAUCUAAAGCUAAAUAUCUGUCAGAGACCGAUAGCGCACAAGUAGAGUGAUCGAAAGAUGAAAAGCACUUUGAAAAGAGAGUCAAAUAGUACGUGAAAUUGUUGAAAGGGAAGCGCUUGCAACGAGACUCGUUCGCGGGUGUUCAGCCGUCCUUCGGGGCGGUGCACUCUCCCGCGUAUCGGGCCAGCAUCGGUUUUGGCGGCCGGAUAAAGGCCCCGGGAACGUAGCUCUCCUAGGAGAGUGUUAUAGCCCGGAGUGUAAUGCGGCCAGCUGGGACCGAGGAUCGCGCAUUCGCUAGGAUGCUGGCGUAAUCGUUGUCAGCGACCCGUCUUGAAACACGGACCAGUAAGUUUCCCAACUUUCUCGAGUCGAACUUUUACAUUUACUAAUUUUAAUCAGAGGAGUCGACCAAUCUGGCAAGUUUUAGGGCGUAAACCCCUGAAGCGAAAUGAAGUGAACGUAGGUGGGAAGCCUUCGGGUNGCACCAUCGACCGCAUUCCUGAUGUCGUUCGGAUGGGAUUUGAGUAUGAGCCCGGCUGGUCGGACCCGGGUAUGUUUNAAAUUUAAAUCCUGCUGUAUGAAAAUAUUCCUAAGUAAGUUAUAGAAAGAUGGUGAACUAUGCGUGAAUAGGGUGAAGCCAGAGGAAACUCUGGUGGAGGCUCGCAGCGGUUCUGACGUGCAAAUCGAUCGUCAAAUUUGCGCAUAGGGGCGAAAGACUAAUCGAACUAUCUAGUAGCUGGUUCCCGUCGAAGUUUCCCUCAGGAUAGCAGCAACGAAAACAGUCUCAUGAGGUAGAGCAAACGAUUAGAGGUCUUGGGGUUGUAUUCGACCUUAACCUAUUCUCGAACUUCGAAUAUGUGAGAAGUCCUUGUUACUUAGUUGAACGUGGACAUUUGGAUGUAUCGUUGCUAGUGGGCCAUUUUUGGUAAGCAGAACUGGCGAUGCGGGAUGAACCGAACGCGAGGUUACGGUGCCGGAGUGUNCGCUCAUAAGACACCACAAAAGGUGUUAGUUCAUCUAGACAGCCGGUAAGGAAAAUUCAUCAACGUCGAGAACCCCGUNCUGACAUAAAAUAGGNCGGUGGCCAUGGAAGUCGGAAUCCGCUAAGGAGUGUAAGUUUUUGUUCCUCUUAAUUAAAACAAUUCGCUAAUUUUUUGUCUUAGGUGUAACAACUCACCGGCCGAAUGAACUAGCCCUGAAAAUGGAUGGCGCUCAAGGUAAAAAGUGUUCAAUAUUCUCAAAUUAACUUUGCUAACUGACCUUUAGCGUGCCACCUAUACCUUGCCGCCGGGGUAAAAAGCGAUGCCCCGGCGAGUAGGCGGGCGUGGAAAUUCCGUGAACGAAGCCUUGGGGG